UACGAAGGGGGCUAGCGUUGUUCGGAAUUACUGGGCGUAAAGCGUGCGCAGGCGGUUUUGUAAGCCAGAUGUGAAAUCCCCGGGCUUAACCUGGGAAUGGCAUUUGGGACUGCAAGGCUUGAGUUUGGCAGAGGAGACUGGAAUUCCUGGUGUAGCAGUGAAAUGCGUAGAUAUCAGGAGGAAUACCGAUGGCGAAGGCAGGUCUCUGGGCUAGAACUGACGCUCAUGCACGAAAGCGUGGGGAGCAAACAGG
rnacentral:rRNA from 1 species